AGACUUCCUCAGACUAAGCCAUGCACGUCUAAGUACAAACUAAAUGAUGGUGAAACUGCAAAUGGCUCAUUACAACGGUUAUGAUGUACCCGGGAGUUCCGAUGGAUAUUUCCAGUAACACUAGAACUAAUACAUGUCCCUGCGUUUAUUAGUUUCGCACAGUCCGUCGCUGAGUCAUGGUAAACAGUUGAUCGACUCGACGUCCCGGAACAGUUUCCGCCCCAUCAGCUUCGAUGGUUGGGUAUUGGCCUACCAUUGCAACAACGGGUAACGAGGAAUUAGGGUUUGAUUUCGGAGAGGGAGCCUGAGAAACGGCUACCACAUCUACGGAUGGCAGCAGGCGCGCAAAUUACCCAAUGCAGACACUGUGAGGUAGUGACGAGAAAUAAUAAAGCGGGACUUCUGUUUCGCUAUUAUAAUGAGGAAUAACCAAAGGUCAUUCCGAUUAGCAACUGAUGGGAAAGUCUGGUGCCAGCAGCCGCGGUAAUACCAGCGUCAGU
rnacentral:rRNA from 1 species